AUCAAAGUUUGCAUAUAUGGAGUACGCAGGGUUCAGCUGUAUGGGGAUAAUUUCCGAGGUCCGGAUGACUUGGUCUCAAUCGAGUGGGUUUUGACUUCAUGUGCAGUUCAUAGUGGUUAGUCUUUAUAUUGAAUGGUUCUUUUCGUUGCAUUAGGAAACUCAUCAGUCGCCAAAUCUGUAACAAAAUAAACAAAAAUUCAUUAUGAACGCAAGACAUAAUUGGCUGAAGGAAGCAAGAAAAUUCGUCAAAAAUUUGUCAACAAGGCACAUAUUGUUUAUUUUAUAUAUAAUAUUUUUAAUUCAAAUUGAUAGUUAGAAAAAAAUGUAUUUCGCGAAAAAGACAUUUGUAUUUAUUUUUUAGUUUGGGAAUUGGUGUUUUUCAUCACCCAUUUUUAUAGGUAUGACAAUAAUUGUGAAUAAACCUUUGUAACACCA